rnacentral:rRNA from 1 species
UAGGGAAUCUUGCGCAAUGGGCGAAAGCCUGACGCAGCCAUGCCGCGUGAAUGAUGAAGGUCUUAGGAUUGUAAAAUUCUUUCACCGGGGAAGAUAAUGACGGUACCCGGAGAAGAAGCCCCGGCUAACUUCGUGCCAGCAGCCGCGGUAAUACGAAGGGGGGCCUAGCGUUGCUCGGAAUUACUGGGCGUAAAGGGCGCGUAGGCGGAUGUUUAAGUCGGGGGUGAAAGCCCGGGGGCCUCAACCUCGGAAUUGCCUUCGAUACUGGACAUCUUGAGUACGGGAGAGGUGAGUGGAACCUCCGAGUGUAGAGGUGAAAUUCGUAGAUAUUCGGAAGAACACCAGUGGCGAAGGCGACUCACUGGCCCGUUACUGACGCUGAGGCGCGAAACGCGUGGGGUAGCAAACAGGAUUAGAUACCCUGGUAGUCCACGCCGUAAACGAUGAGUGCUAGUUGUCGGCAUGCAUGCAUGUCGGUGACGCAGCUAACGCAUUAAGCACUCCGCCUGGGGAGU